rnacentral:rRNA from 1 species
CAUUAUUGAAGAAACAGAGUGCACUUCAUUGUGGCUCAACCCUUCAUAUCCACUCACACUGUGCACUGUAAUACUUUUUUUUAUCAGGCUCUACAAGUCAAAGAAUGUACUACUUUAAUAAAGUAAACAAAACUUUCAACAACGGAUCUCUUGGUUCUCGCAUCGAUGAAGAACGCAGCGAAAUGCGAUAAGUAAUGUGAAUUGCAGAAUUCAGUGAAUCAUCGAAUCUUUGAACGCACCUUGCACCUCUUGGUAUUCCAAGAGGUACAUCUGUUUGAGUGUCAUGAAUCCCUCAACCCUUAUGCUUUUUUAAAAGUGUAAGUGCGUUGGAUGUUGAGCGUUGCUGUCUCCCACAGCUCGCUUUAAAUAGAUCAGCAAUCUCUGUAUUACUCGGAUUGACUUGACGUGAUAAGAUAUUCGUCAAGGAUGCUUCUCAGCAGCCGAAUUGUACAUGAGGAGCUUCAAACCCUGCCUUGUGCACAUUUUUUUAAUUUAGACCUCAAAUCAGAUGGGACUACCCGCUGAACUUAAGCAUAUCA